AGCGAACGCUGGCGGCAUGCCUAACACAUGCAAGUCGCACGGGGGGGCUUCGGCCUCCCAGUGGCGGACGGGUGAGGAACGCGUAGGGACCUGUCGAGGGGUGGGGGAUAACCGCGGGAAACUGCGGCUAAUACCGCAUGACGCCGCGGCGUGACAGCCGGGGCCAAAGGCGAAAGCCGCCCGCCGAGGGGCCUGCGUCCGAUUAGCUGGUUGGCGGGGUAGCGGCCCACCAAGGCGUCGAUCGGUAGCUGGUCUGAGAGGGUGAUCAGCCACACCGGGACUGAGACACGGCCCGGACUCCUACGGGAGGCGGCAGUGGGGAAUAUUGGACAAUGGGCGCAAGCCUGAUCCAGCAAUGCCGCGUGGGUGAAGAAGGUCUUCGGAUUGUAAAGCCCUUUCGGCGGGGACGAUGGUGACGGUACCCGCAGAAGAAGCCCCGGCUAACUUCGUG
rnacentral:rRNA from 1 species